CCGUGGGAGGAGCGGACGGGUGCUCGGGCAGAGUGGAGAUCUGGCACGACGGCUCCUGGCGGAGGGUGUGCGACAACUCCUGGGCCAAGCAGGAGGCCGAGGUGGCGUGCAGGCAGCUGGGCUGCGGCUCCGCCGUGUAUCCCCUGGACAACGCUGCCUUUGGGAAGGGGACAGGCCCCGUCUGGCUGGAGAAGGUGGAUUGCCGGGGGACAGAGCUGUCUCUGCAGCACUGCUCUGCCCGGCCUGGGGACAGCGGUGCCUGCCAGCACGAGGAGGGCGCUGCCGUGAACUGCUCAGCACCACCCAGCACGACAGCACCAACCCCCCGAGCAGAUCCCACCCGGGGCCCUCCGACCAGCAGCAGCAGCAGCAGGAUCUCAUUACCCAUCAUCAUCUGCAUCAUCCUGGGAGCCCUUCUGUGCGUGCUCCUGGCCCUCCUGGCCGGGCAGGCGCGAAGCGCCAGGGCUGGGCGCGGAGGCUCUGAGAGCGCUUGGGAGCCCUUCCCUGAUGCUGUGUACGAGGAGAUCGGUUACAGCCAGGCAUGGGAGAAGCAGCUGAGGUUCAGCGGCAAAGGUG